rnacentral:misc_RNA from 1 species
AUAGCAACUCCUCCGAUGAAGAGAACACGGAUGCUCAGCAAAAUUUUGUGGAGAGGAGGCACCAGUUCCCUGAAAUGGAGUUGCUCAUCCAAGAAUUUUCUUUUCACCAGAUGAAUGCUAAUUUACUUUGGCCUGGGACAUUUGCAUUUGCGGAAUGGCUUGCGCAACAUACGUCCUGGUUAAGAGGGCGUCGCAUAAUUGAGCUAGGCAGUGGAACUGGAGCUUUGGCUAUAUUCUUGAGCAAAUCAUAUCAACUUGAUAUUACAACGUCGGACUAUGAUGAUCCUGAUAUUGAAGAGAACAUAGCUCAUAAUUGCCAGGCAAAUGGUGUUUCACCUGCCCUUCCUCACAUAAGGCAUUCAUGGGGAGAUGUGUUUCCAUUAGCUGAUCCUGAUUGGGACCUCAUAAUUGCAAGUGAUAUCUUACUAUAUGUAAAACAAUAUGAGAACUUGGUAAAGACACUAUGCUUUCUCUUGAAAUCCUACAAGCCAAAAGUUAACGAAACUGGUUCUGGAAUUAGUGAAGAAAAAGAUACAUGUCCUUUGCCUCGGCCAGCUUUCUUGAUGAGCUGGAGGCGCAGGAUAGGGAAAGAAGACGAGUCACUCUUCUUCACAGGAUGUGUAAAGGCCGGUCUUGAAGUAAACCAUUUGGGAUCUCGUGUGUAUUGCAUUAAGCCCAAAGAAACCAGCGCCACUGAAGCAGUAUCAGAGAGCUUAGGGAACUGAGAUUUAACUUUGUGCUAGCUACCUCCACCGUGAGGGCACAGGGGUCUAGUGUCCUUUGCUGUAUCUUCAUGUGUUAUUCUUCCAUUAGAUGCGGCUCGUACAUCUUCUGAAUACUCCUCGUUAAUGCUCCCCCGAUAUGAAAAGUUCUUAAUGUAAUUGAAGUACCUGAAUGGAGGAAAUGUAACAGUUAGCCUUGUAAUGGUUCAUUUGAUAUGUUUAGGAUGGAAAUGAUCUCAAUUGAAUAGAGUAAAA